UUUGGCGGCCAUAGCGGUGGGGAUACACCUCUUCCCAUUCCGAACAGAGAAGUUAAGCCCACUUGCGCCGAUGGUACUCGGAGGGCAACCUCCCGGGAGAGUAGGCAGCCGCCAACU
rnacentral:rRNA from 1 species